rnacentral:rRNA from 1 species
UACGAAGGGGGCUAGCGUUGCUCGGAAUUACUGGGCGUAAAGCGUGCGCAGGCGGUUUUGUAAGACAGGCGUGAAAUCCCCGGGCUCAACCUGGGAAUUGCGCUUGUGACUGCAAGGCUGGAGUGCGGCAGAGGGGGAUGGAAUUCCGCGUGUAGCAGUGAAAUGCGUAGAUAUGCGGAGGAACACCGAUGGCGAAGGCAAUCCCCUGGGCCUGCACUGACGCUCAUGCACGAAAGCGUGGGGAGCAAACAGG